rnacentral:rRNA from 1 species
GGCUACCAUGCAAGUCGAGGGGCAGCAUUUCAGUUUGCUUGCAAACUGGAGAUGGCGACCGGCGCNCGGGUGAGUAACACGUAUCCAACCUGCCGAUAACUCGGGGAUAGCCUUUCGAAAGAAAGAUUAAUACCCGAUGGNAUAAUCAGACCGCAUGGUCUUAUUAUUAAAGAAUUUCGGUUAUCGAUGGGGAUGCGUUCCAUUAGGCAGUUGGUGAGGUAACGGCUCACCAAACCUUCGAUGGAUAGGGGUUCUGAGAGGAAGGUCCCCCACAUUGGAACUGAGACACGGUCCAAACUCCUACGGGAGGCAGCAGUGAGGAAUAUUGGUCAAUGGGCGCAGGCCUGAACCAGCCAAGUAGCGUGAAGGAUGACUGCCCUAUGGGUUGUAAACUUCUUUUAUAUGGGAAUAAAGUUUUCCACGUGUGGAAUUUUGUAUGUACCAUAUGAAUAAGGAUCGGCUAACUCCGUGCCAGCAGCCGCGGUAAUACGGAGGAUCCGAGCGUUAUCCGGAUUUAUUGGGUUUAAAGGGAGCGUAGGUGGACAGUUAAGUCAGUUGUGAAAGUUUGCGGCUCAACCGUAAAAUUGCAGUUGAUACUGGCUGUCUUGAGUACAGUAGAGGUGGGCGGAAUUCGUGGUGUAGCGGUGAAAUGCUUAGAUAUCACGAAGAACUCCGAUUGCGAAGGCAGCUCACUGGACUGCAACUGACACUGAUGCUCGAAAGUGUGGGUAUCAAACAGGAUUAGAUACCCUGGUAGUCCACACAGUAAACGAUGAAUACUCGCUGUUUGCGAUAUACAGUAAGCGGCCAAGCGAAAGCAUUAAGUAUUCCACCUGGGGAGUACGCCGGCAACGGUGAAACUCAAAGGAAUUGACGGGGGCCCGCACAAGCGGAGGAACAUGUGGUUUAAUUCGAUGAUACGCGAGGAACCUUACCCGGGCUUAAAUUGCAUUUGAAUANUNUGGAAACAGNUUAGCCGCAAGGCAAAUGUGAAGGUGCUGCAUGGUUGUCGUCAGCUCGUGCCGUGAGGUGUCGGCUUAAGUGCCAUAACGAGCGCAACCCUUAUCUUUAGUUACUAACAGGUCAUGCUGAGGACUCUAGAGAGACUGCCGUCGUAAGAUGUGAGGAAGGUGGGGAUGACGUCAAAUCAGCACGGCCCUUACGUCCGGGGCUACACACGUGUUACAAUGGGGGGUACAGAAGGCAGCUACCUGGUGACAGGAUGCUAAUCCCAAAAGCCUCUCUCAGUUCGGAUCGAAGUCUGCAACCCGACUUCGUGAAGCUGGAUUCGCUAGUAAUCGCGCAUCAGCCAUGGCGCGGUGAAUACGUUCCCGGGCCUUGUACACACCGCCCGUCAAGCCAUGAAAGCCGGGGGUACCUGAAGUACGAACCGCAAGGAGCUCCUAGUA